UACGUAGGGUGCAAGCGUUGUCCGGAAUUAUUGGGCGUAAAGAGCUCGUAGGCGGUUUGUUGCGUCGGCUGUGAAAUCCCGAGGCUCAACCUCGGGUCUGCAGUCGAUACGAGCAAACUAGAGUGUUGCAGGGGAGACUGGAAUUCCUGGUGUAGCGGUGAAAUGCGCAGAUAUCAGGAGGAACACCGAUGGCGAAGGCAGGGCUCUGGGCAGUAACUGACGCUGAGGAGCGAAAGCAUGGGGAGCGAACAGG
rnacentral:rRNA from 1 species